rnacentral:rRNA from 1 species
GACGAACGCUGGCGGCGUGCUUAACACAUGCAAGUCGAACGGAAAGUCCCCUUUUGGGGUCCUCGAGUGGCGUACGGGGGGGUAACACGUGAGUAACCUGCCCUUGACUUCGGGAUAACUUCAGUAAACUGGGGCUAAUACCUGGGAGGAAUCCUUUCUGCAUGUUGGGGGGUGGAAAGCUUAGGCGGUUUUGGGUUGACGUGCGGCUUUUCCGCGUGUUGGUGGGGUAGUGGCUUACCAAGGCUUUGACGGGUAGCCGGCCUGAGAGGGCGACCGGCCACAGUGGGACUGAGACACGGCCCAGACCCCUACGGGAGGCAGAAGUGGGGAAGAGUGAACAAUGGGCGGAAGCCAGAUGCAGAAACGCCGCGGGCGGGAUGACGGUCUUGGGGUUGUAAACCGAAUUCAGUAGGGGCGAAGCUUGUGGUGACGGUACCUGCAGAAGAAGCACCGGCUAACUACGUG